rnacentral:RNase_P_RNA from 1 species
GAAGCGAGCCAGGCCGCCGCUGGCGCUGUUUUCGGACGGUGCUGGAGGAAGGUCCGGACUGCACAGGGCGGCGCAGCAGCUAACGGCUGUCCACCGCGAGGUGAGGAUCAGAGCAACAGAGACGAGUCGGCGUGUGCCCGCAAGGGUGCAAGCCGGGUGAAACGGGCAAUCUCUGCGCGCAGCAAUACAAAAUAGGCCGGCGCAAGCAGGCGCUUCGGCGCUUGCCGGGAGUGUGGCUCCGCACGAGCCGGCGGGUAGGUAGCACCGAGCCGGGCAGCAAUGCCCGGCCCAGAGGAAUGGCGGCCACGGCGGCUCGUCGCAAGACGCAGCCGCUGCACAGAAUCCGGCCUAUCGGCUCGCUUCAUCU